rnacentral:siRNA from 1 species
UGCGAUGGUCCCUGCGGAUGCUA